AGCCUGAACGCUGGCGGCGUGGCUAAGACAUGCAAGUCGUACGGUGUAGCAAUACACAGUGGCGAACGGGAGAGUAAUGAAUCGCUAAUGUGCCCCGGACUCUGGGAUAGCCAUCCGAAAGGAUGGGUAAUACCAGAUGACAUAUCUUUAUCGCAUGAUAGAGAUCUCAAAGGUCCGCCGGUCUGGGAGCAGGCGAUUUUGUAUCAGCUAGUUGGUGAGGUAACGGCUCACCAAGGCGACGACGCAUAGCCGGACUGAGAGGUUGGCCGGCCUCAUUGGGACUGAGACACUGCCCAGACUCCUACGGGGGGCUGCAGUAACGAAUCUUCCGCAAUGCACGAAAGUGUGACGGAGCGACGCCGCGUGUGGGACGAAGUCCUUCGGGAUGUAAACCACUGUCAGGGGUUACCAAGUUCUGAGGAGCCCCAGAGGAAGGGACGGCUAACUCUGUGCCAGCAGCCGC
rnacentral:rRNA from 1 species